rnacentral:rRNA from 1 species
GACGAACGCUGGCGGCGUGCCUAAUACAUGCAAGUAGAACGCUGAAGGAGGAGCUUGCUUCUCUGGAUGAGUUGCGAACGGGUGAGUAACGCGUAGGUAACCUGCCUGGUAGCGGGGGAUAACUAUUGGAAACGAUAGCUAAUACCGCAUAAUAGCAGUUAUUGCAUGAUAACUGUUUGAAAGGUGCAAUUGCACCACUACCAGAUGGACCUGCGUUGUAUUAGCUAGUUGGUGGGGUAACGGCUCACCAAGGCGACGAUACAUAGCCGACCUGAGAGGGUGAUCGGCCACACUGGGACUGAGACACGGCCCAGACUCCUACGGGAGGCAGCAGUAGGGAAUCUUCGGCAAUGGACGGAAGUCUGACCGAGCAACGCCGCGUGAGUGAAGAAGGUUUUCGGAUCGUAAAGCUCUGUUGUAAGAGAAGAACGAGUGUGAGAGUGGAAAGUUC